rnacentral:misc_RNA from 1 species
GGUUUUUAUUUUAUACUUUAAACCUUGAAUUUAUUUUUUAAAUGUUUAUAUUAUUUGAAUAAAACAUUCAAAUAAUAUAAAAAAUAAUAUAUAUAUUGACAUGGAUUAAACAAAGAUAUAUAUUAUUCUAUGUUGUAUAAACAAAUUGGCAAAAUAGAGAUGGAAGAUAAAAAUAUGGUCAAAGUAAUAAGAGUC